rnacentral:rRNA from 1 species
GACGAACGCUGGCGGCGUGCCUAAUACAUGCAAGUUGAGCGAUGAAGAUUGGUGCUUGCACCAAUUUGAAGAGCAGCGAACGGGUGAGUAACGCGUGGGGAAUCUGCCUUUGAGCGGGGGACAACAUUUGGAAACGAAUGCUAAUACCGCAUAACAACUUUAAACAUAAGUUUUAAGUUUGAAAGAUGCAAUUGCAUCACUCAAAGAUGAUCCCGCGUUGUAUUAGCUAGUUGGUGAGGGAAAGGCUCACCAAGGCGAUGAUACAUAGCCGACCUGAGAGGGUGGUCCACCACAUUUGGACUUAGACACGGCCCAAACUCCUACGGGAGGCAGCAGGAGGGGAACUUCGGCAAUGGACGGAAGUCUGACCGAGCAACGCCGCGUGAGUGAAGAAGGGUUUCGGAUCGUAAAACUCUGUUGGUAGGGAAGAACGUUGGUGAGGGUGGAAAGCUCAUCAAGUGACGGUAACUACCCAGAAAGGGACGGCUAACUACGUG